GACGAACGCUGGCGGCGUGCUUAACACAUGCAAGUCGAACGGAAAGGCCCUGCUUUUGUGGUGUUCUCGAGUGGCGAACGGGUGAGUAACACGUGAGUAACCUGCCCUUGACUUUGGGAUAACUUCAGGAAACUGGGGCUAAUACCGGAUAGGAGCUCCUGCUGCAUGGUGGGGGUUGGAAAGUUUCGGCGGUUGGGGAUGGACUCGCGGCUUAUCAGCUUGCUGGUGGGGUAGUGGCUUACCAAGGCUUUGACGGGUAGCCGGCCUGAGAGGGUGACCGGGCACAUUGGGACUGAGAUACGGCCCAGACUCCAACGGGAGGCAGCAGUGGGGAAUAUUGCACAAUGGGCGGAAGCCUGAUGCAGCAACGCCGCGUGCGGGAUGACGGCCUUCGGGUUGUAAACCGCUUUCGCCUGUGACGAAGCGUGAGUGACGGUAAUGGGUAAAGAAGCACCGGCUAACUACGUG
rnacentral:rRNA from 1 species